rnacentral:rRNA from 1 species
AUUGAACGCUGGCGGCAGUCCUAACACAUGCAAGUCGAGCGGCAGCGGGAAAGUAGCUUGCUACUUUUGCCGGCGAGCGGCGGACGGGUGAGUAAUGCCUGGGAAAUUGCCCAGUCGAGGGGGAUAACAGUUGGAAACGACUGCUAAUACCGCAUACGCCCUACGGGGGAAAGCAGGGGACCUUCGGGCCUUGCGCGAUUGGAUAUGCCCAGGUGGGAUUAGCUGGUUGGUGAGGUAAUGGCUCACCAAGGCGACGAUCCCUAGCUGGUCUGAGAGGAUGAUCAGCCACACUGGAACUGAGACACGGUCCAGACUCCUACGGGAGGCAGCAGUGGGGAAUAUUGCACAAUGGGGGAAACCCUGAUGCAGCCAUGCCGCGUGUGUGAAGAAGGCCUUCGGGUUGUAAAGCACUUUCAGCGAGGGGGAAAGGUUGAUGCCUAAUACGUAUCAACUGUGACGUUACUCGCAGAAGAAGCACCGGCUAACUCCGUGCCAGCCGCCGCAGUAACAC